UACGUAGGGUGCGAGCGUUAAUCGGAAUUACUGGGCGUAAAGCGUGCGCAGGCGGUUUUGUAAGACAGAGGUGAAAUCCCCGGGCUCAACCUGGGAACUGCCUUUGUGACUGCAAGGCUUGAGUGCGGCAGAGGGGGAUGGAAUUCCGCGUGUAGCAGUGAAAUGCGUAGAUAUGCGGAGGAACACCGAUGGCGAAGGCAGGUCUCUGGGCUGACACUGACGCUCAUGCACGAAAGCGUGGGGAGCAAACAGG
rnacentral:rRNA from 1 species